rnacentral:rRNA from 1 species
UUUCAGUAAGGAGGAAAGGUUAAGUGUUAAUAGCACUUAGCUGUGACGUUACUUACAGAAGAAGCACCGGCUAACUCCGUGCCAGCAGCCGCGGUAAUACGGAGGGUGCGAGCGUUAAUCGGAAUUACUGGGCGUAAAGCGUACGCAGGCGGUUUGUUAAGCGAGAUGUGAAAGCCCCGGGCUCAACCUGGGAACUGCAUUUCGAACUGGCAAACUAGAGUGUGAUAGAGGGUGGUAGAAUUUCAGGUGUAGCGGUGAAAUGCGUAGAGAUCUGAAGGAAUACCGAUGGCGAAGGCAGCCACCUGGGUCAACACUGACGCUCAUGUACGAAAGCGUGGGGAGCAAACAGGAUUAGAUACCCUGGUAGUCCACGCCGUAAACGAUGUCUACUAGAAGCUCGGGUCUUCGGACUUGUUUUUCAAAGCUAACGCAUUAAGUAGACCGCCUGGGGAGUACGGCCGCAAGGUUAAAACUCAAAUGAAUUGACGGGGGCCCGCACAAGCGGUGGAGCAUGUGGUUUAAUUCGAUGCAACGCGAAGAACCUUACCUACACUUGACAUACAGAGAACUUACCAGAGAUGGUUUGGUGCCUUCGGGAACUCUGAUACAGGUGCUGCAUGGCUGUCGUCAGCUCGUGUUGUGAG